UAGGGAAUAUUGGACAAUGGGGGCAACCCUGAUCCAGCCAUGCCGCGUGAGUGAAGAAGGCCCUCGGGUUGUAAAGCUCUUUUGUCCGGAAAGAAAAGCAUUCGGUGAAUACCCGGAUGUUCUGACGGUACCGGAAGAAUAAGCACCGGCUAACUUCGUGCCAGCAGCCGCGGUAAUACGAAGGGUGCAAGCGUUACUCGGAAUUACUGGGCGUAAAGCGUGCGUAGGUGGUUGUUUAAGUCUGAUGUGAAAGCCCUGGGCUCAAACUGGGAAUGGCAUUGGAAACUGGGCAGCUAGAGUGCGGUAGAGGGUAGUGGAAUUCCCGGUGUAGCAGUGAAAUGCGUAGAGAUCGGGAGGAACAUCUGUGGCGAAGGCGACUGCCUGGACCAGCACUGACACUGAGGCACGAAAGCGUGGGG
rnacentral:rRNA from 1 species